UAGAAAUAUUGCCGUAGAAAAUGUACUAAAGAGACAUUGAAUGUUGUUGUGAUAUGAAAAGGGGUGAAAAAUGAUUAAAAUAAUGGCAGCAAAGGGUUGUUUCCUAUUUGAAUGGAGGAGGGAAGUACACUACGUACCUCAUUGCUGCACUGAAUUUCUCGUUGUAAGGUUGUUCUGGAACUUUUAACACAAAUUACAACGUUUGACGUAUUAGAAAUAUACUAAAGAUUUGAAGUUAAUAAGAAAAUUAGAAUAUAUAUAUAAGAUGUAUACUCAUAUAAAGGAUCUGAGAAGUGGUGUGAUGCGAAAAUAACGGCCUACGGUGGUAUAACUUUUAUAGAUGCAUGUGAAACAAGAAAUAAGAAAACAGCGAACACGAAAAUGCAUUCCCAAUCAAAGAAAGCGGCUGGUGUCAACAGACAGGAACUGCAUAAAUCUAUUUUUACUACAUUUAAUAACUGUAUAAUACAUUUCUUUGCUUCGUUCCAGGUAUGUGUGCUCUGGAAUCCUCCGUUGUGGAAAAGAAGUAAGAAAGAAUUUGGAAUUAAUAAAUAUCCGUUGAAUAAUGAUUAGAUAGUAUGAUACCAAAGUGAAGAUAUAUUUUAAGACUUGUCAGUUAUUUUGCAUGGUAUGUAGUGACAUCAGACGAGUAUGAAGGAUUAAUCUAAAAAGACCUCAGCUAUCGAUAACAUCGAUGAGAGCUAAUACUAAAGUUUUUCCACUCCCGAAUACUACUCUGUAGAGAGGUCAUAUCGCCGUCAAAAACACUUAGAAUAUACUUGCGCAAACUUGUUCAUUGACUGCCAUGAUUUCUUUAUUGAUCUAACGAAAACCAUCCAGAUGUGAUGAAACUUUGUAAACCGCUCAACAGAGAAAUGAGGAAAUUGAUCAAAUAAAUAAGAGAGCACCAGACCAGCUCAGCCACUCAAACCCCAAUUGGAUGCUGAUAAGGAAACGUGAUUUGUGCUUAAUCGACUUUUUUCCGAGAAGCCAUCUCAGUAGCUGAGAACGUCUAAAGUCUCCACCCACUGGAUUGCUAACAAAUAAACAAAAGGAGAUUAAUUGGAUUAAAAACAGGGGCGUAACACUACAACAUUUUUGUAGGGCUGAAUAACCGUUCCAAUAAUAACAUUUUGAGCAGAAAGAGCUUGAUGAAGUUGAGUAUACGUAAAACACAAUUGAAGGCUUUAACGAAAGCACAAUUGACUGGCGAAUGCAAAAUAAUAAAGAGUUAAGCUAACAGUAAAGAGUUGGCGUCGCUGUGAGUGCCCAACGGUUUCUCAGAGCGCAUAGAUACUGCAAACAUCUCCUAGUCGGUAGGUGCUAUCUCGCGAAUUAUUGGCGUUGUGGAACCUAUUGCAUAUAUGCUUAUUUAUAUUGUGUUUUUAAAUAAAUAUGCUCGUAUGUACACUUGUGCUUUUGUAGCAGUCGAUAAUUCUCCCAGACUUUUUAGCCGCCUGCUGUUUAGAGAC